GGCCUUGUAUGUCUACACGUGCACACACAUAUGCACACAGGCCUUGUAUGUCUACAGGUGCACAUGCAUUUAGGCCUUGAAUGUUUACAGGUGCACAUGCACAUCCUCACUUCCUGUCUCUGUCACAUUUUGGAAAUUCUCACAAUAUUUUAAACUUUUAUGUUAUUAUAUCAGUUUUGGUGAUCUGUGAUCAGUGAUCUUUGACGUUACUCUUGUAAUUGUUUUGGGGCACCAGGAAUCACACCCAUAUAGGACAGAGAACUUAAGCAAUAACCAUUGUUUGUGUUCUGGCUGCUCCAUUACCUAGUUGUUCCCCAACUCUCUUCCUCUUCUCAGGCCUCCCUAUUCUCUGAAUCACAGCAAUAUCGAAAUUAGGCCAGUUAAUAGCCCUACAAUGGCCUUUAAGUGUUCAAGUGAAAGGAAAAGUUGCACGUCUCUCACUUUAAAGCAAAAUCUAAGAAUGAUUAAGCUGAGCAAGGAAGGAAUAUCAAAAGCUGAGUUAGGCCAAAAGCUAGGUCUCUUGUACCAAAGAGUCAACCAAAUUGUGAAUGUAAAGAAAACAGUUUUGAGGGCAAUUAAAAGUGCUACCUUAGUGAAAACAAGAAUUUUGAGUGAAACAGGCAUAUUGUUGAUAGGGAGGAAGUUUAAAUGCUCUAGAUAGAAGAUCAAACCAUACACAACAUUCCCUUAAGCCAAAACCCAAUGCAGAGAAAGGCCUUAACUCUCUUCAAUUCUAU
rnacentral:lncRNA from 1 species